GAUUCUGGCUCAGAACGAACGCUGGCGGCGCGUUUAAGCAUGCAAGUCGAGCGGCAAGGGCCUUCGGGCCCCUAGAGCGGCGGACGGGUGAGUAACACGUGGACAAUCUGCCCCCCGGCCCGGGAUAGCCCAGGGAAACCUGGAUUAAUACCGGAUGAGACGGGACCCGCGAUGGCGGGACCCGGAAAGGCGCUGCGGCGCCGCCGGGGGAUGAGUCUGCGUCCCAUUAGCUAGACGGCGGGGUAACGGCCCACCGUGGCGACGAUGGGUAGCCGGCCUGAGAGGGUGGACGGCCACAUUGGAACUGAGACACGGUCCAGACUCCUACGGGAGGCAGCAGCUAAGAAGUCUUCCGCAAUGGGCGAAAGCCUGACGGAAGCGACGCCGCGUGAACGAAGAAGGCCGUGAGGUUGUAAAGUUCUUUCGGGAGGGGGAACAACCGUGGCAGGGAAUGGCCGCGGGAUGACGUGAAUCCCGGAAUAAGCCCCGGCUAACUACGUGCCAGCCGCCGC
rnacentral:rRNA from 1 species